GUAAACUGCAACAGAAAGAACCUGUAAAGAAUACAUAAAAUUAUAAAGAAAUAGAAUAAAGGAUGUAGAAGAUGUGGAAAUAGACAAACAAAAAAAUGUUAACACAAGCAGAGAUGUGGCUAUGUAUUGCACAAUCUACAUUAUAACUUAUGAUAAAGUUCAAAUACAGGCAGGUUUUCUUUCUUCCCAUCAAAACAAAAAAUAGUAACAAAAAAGAAACAAAAAGCUGUAAUCUUUUGAUAAGCAUAAUGGUGUUCUAAGCCAUUCCUGUUAAAAGGCAAUAACAGAAGUUUCCACUAGAGCAAAGAAGUACAUCUCCAUUGCUAAGCUAAAAAGAUCCAGCAUAACCAAAAACUUUUAACCGAAUAAUUAAAAAUAAAAUACACGUAAGAAAA
rnacentral:misc_RNA from 1 species